GUUUGUUUUGGCAGCACAUAUACUAAAAUUGGAAUGAUACAGAGAAGAUUAGCAUGGACCCCGCGCAAGGAUGACAGAAUUAUCUAGCAUGGCAUCAUUUCUAU
rnacentral:snRNA from 1 species